UAAUCAUUAUGUUAUCAUUGACAUGCUGUUCCAUUUGUAGAUUAAACGACAUUUGUUUUCAUACAUUUUCAGCCUCAUAGAUACAUCAGUUCUCAGUGAUAACACACGAUCACUUUUAUUAUAUUUACUUUCGUUUUGAACAAACAACAACGAAAAAUAGAAACUUAGAGUUAAUAUAUUAAUAUUGAACCAAAUCAUUAAUGUAAUGUCUUCUGUUUGCAGCAAACUUUCAAUGCAGCCGACAAUAUUUCAUUUACGACUGAAUAAAAAGGUUAUAAUUCUCUCUAA